GGUGUUGUACUUUAAUAUAAAAGAUUUGGUUUGCAUUCAGGCAAUGGGAUUUAUAGUCCCCAAUACCA
rnacentral:tRNA from 1 species